AGAGUUUGAUCCUGGCUCAGGAUGAACGBUAGCUACAGGCUUAACACAUGCAAGUCGAGGGGCAGCGAGGGGUUAGCUUGCUAACCUGUCGGCGACCGGCGCACGGGUGAGUAACGCGUAUCCAACCUUCCCCAUACCAGAGGAUAGCCCGGCGAAAGUCGGAUUAAUACUCUAUGUUUUCCUUUGCGGGCAUCUAACGAGGAACAAAGAUUGAUCGGUAUGGGAUGGGGAUGCGUCUGAUUAGGUUGUUGGCGGGGUAACGGCCCACCAAGCCGUCGAUCAGUAGGGGUUCUGAGAGGAAGGUCCCCCACAUUGGUACUGAGACACGGACCAAACUCCUACGGGAGGCAGCAGUGAGGAAUAUUGGUCAAUGGGCGGAAGCCUGAACCAGCCAAGUAGCGUGCAGGAAGACGGCCCUAUGGGUUGUAAACUGCUUUUAUGCGGGGAUAAAGGGGGCUACGCGUAGCCCUUUGCAGGUACCGCAUGAAUAAGGACCGGCUAAUUCCGUGCCAGCAGCCGCGGUAAUACGGAAGGUCCGGGCGUUAUCCGGAUUUAUUGGGUUUAAAGGGAGCGCAGGCCGGAGGUCAAGCGUGACGUGAAAUGUAGGGGCUCAACCUUUGAAUUGCGUCGCGAACUGGCCUUCUUGAGUGAGUACGACGUCAGCGGAAUUCGUGGUGUAGCGGUGAAAUGCUUAGAUAUCACGAA
rnacentral:rRNA from 1 species